GCGUCGGUGGUAUAACGAUAGCAUAGCUGCCUUCCGCUGGUGCUGACCCGGGUUCGACUCCCGGCCGACGCA